UAAUCUGGCACCUUCGGUGUCCGAGUUGUAAUCUCUAGAAAUGUUUUCCGCGCUGGACCGCACACAAGUCUGUUGGAAUACAGCGGCAUAGUGGUGAGACCCCCGUAUAUGGUGCGGACGCCCAGCGCUUUGUGAUACAUUUUCGAAGAGUCGAGUUGUUUGGGAAUGCAGCUCAAAUUGGGUGGUAAAUUCCAUCUAAAGCUAAAUAUUGGCGAGAGACCGAUAGCGAACAAGUACCGUGAGGGAAAGAUGAAAAGCACUUUGGAAAGAGAGUUAACAGUACGUGAAAUUGUUGGAAGGGAAACGCUUGAAGUCAGACUUGCUUGCCGAGCAAUCGGUUUGCAGGCCAGCAUCAGUUUUCCGGGAUGGAUAAUGGUAGAGAGAAGGUAGCAGUUUCGGCUGUGUUAUAGCUCUCUGCUGGAUACAUCUUGGGGGACUGAGGAACGCAGUGUGCCUUUGGCGGGGGUUUCGACCUCUUCACACUUAGGAUGCUGGUGGAAUGGCUUUAAACGACCCGUCUUGAAACACGGACCA
rnacentral:rRNA from 1 species